rnacentral:rRNA from 1 species
GAAUGCUGACAUAAGUAACGAUAAAGCGGGUGAAAAGCCCGCUCGCCGGAAGACCAAGGGUUCCUGUCCAACGUUAAUCGGGGCAGGGUGAGUCGACCCCUAAGGCGAGGCCGAAAGGCGUAGUCGAUGGGAAACGGGUUAAUAUUCCCGUACUUGGUGUUACUGCGAAGGGGGGACGGAGAAGGCUAUGUUGGCCGGGCGACGGUUGUCCCGGUUUAAGCGUGUAGGUGUGUGUUCCAGGUAAAUCCGGUUCACUUUAACACUGAGGCGUGACGACGAGGCACUACGGUGCUGAAGCAACAAAUGCCCUGCUUCCAGGAAAAGCCUCUAAGCAUCAGGUAACAUCAAAUCGUACCCCAAACCGACACAGGUGGUCAGGUAGAGAAUACCAAGGCGCUUGAGAGAACUCGGGUGAAGGAACUAGGCAAAAUGGUGCCGUAACUUCGGGAGAAGGCACGCUGACACGUAGGUGAAGUGAUUUACUCACGGAGCUGAAGUCAGUCGAAGAUACCAGCUGGCUGCAACUGUUUAUUAAAAACACAGCACUGUGCAAACACGAAAGUGGACGUAUACGGUGUGACGCCUGCCCGGUGCCGGAAGGUUAAUUGAUGGGGUCAGCGCAAGCGAAGCUCCUGAUCGAAGCCCCGGUAAACGGCGGCCGUAACUAUAACGGUCCUAAGGUAGCGAAAUUCCUUGUCGGGUAAGUUCCGACCUGCACGAAUGGCGUAAUGAUGGCCAGGCUGUCUCCACCCGAGACUCAGUGAAAUUGAACUCGCUGUGAAGAUGCAGUGUACCCGCGGCAAGACGGAAAGACCCCGUGAACCUUUACUAUAGCUUGACACUGAACAUUGAGCCUUGAUGUGUAGGAUAGGUGGGAGGCUUUGAAGCGUGGACGCCAGUCUGCGUGGAGCCGACCUUGAAAUACCACCCUUUAAUGUUUGAUGUUCUAACGUGGACCCGUGAUCCGGGUUGCGGACAGUGUCUGGUGGGUAGUUUGACUGGGGCGGUCUCCUCCUAAAGAGUAACGGAGGAGCACGAAGGUUGGCUAAUCCUGGUCGGACAUCAGGAGGUUAGUGCAAUGGCAUAAGCCAGCUUGACUGCGAGCGUGACGGCGCGAGCAGGUGCGAAAGCAGGUCAUAGUGAUCCGGUGGUUCUGAAUGGAAGGGCCAUCGCUCAACGGAUAAAAGGUACUCCGGGGAUAACAGGCUGAUACCGCCCAAGAGUUCAUAUCGACGGCGGUGUUUGGCACCUCGAUGUCGGCUCAUCACAUCCUGGGGCUGAAGUAGGUCCCAAGGGUAUGGCUGUUCGCCAUUUAAAGUGGUACGCGAGCUGGGUUUAGAACGUCGUGAGACAGUUCGGUCCCUAUCUGCCGUGGGCGCUGGAGAACUGAGGGGGGCUGCUCCUAGUACGAGAGGACCGGAGUGGACGCAUCACUGGUGUUCGGGUUGUCAUGCCAAUGGCACUGCCCGGUAGCUAAAUGCGGAAGAGAUAAGUGCUGAAAGCAUCUAAGCACGAAACUUGCCCCGA